rnacentral:rRNA from 1 species
GACGAACGCUGGCGGCGUGCUUAACACAUGCAAGUCGAACGGAAAGGCCCUGCUUUUGUGGGGUGCUCGAGUGGCGAACGGGUGAGUAACACGUGAGUAACCUGCCCUUGACUUUGGGAUAACUUCAGGAAACUGGGGCUAAUACCGGAUAGGAGCUCCUGCUGCAUGGUGGGGGUUGGAAAGUUUCGGCGGUUGGGGAUGGACUCGCGGCUUAUCGGCUUGUUGGUGGGGUAGGGGCUUGCCCAGGGUUUGAAGGGUAGCCGGCCUGGGAGGGGGACCGGCCACAUUGGUACUGAGGUACGGCCCAGACUCCUACGGGAGGCAGCAGUGGCGAAUCUUGCACAAUGGGCGGAAGCCUGAUGCAGCAGCGCCGCGUGCGGGAUGACGGCCUUCGGGGUGUAAACCGCUUUCGACUGUGACGAAGCGGGAGUGACGGUAAUGGGUAAAGAAGCACCGGCUAACUACGUG